rnacentral:rRNA from 1 species
UACGUAGGGUGCGAGCGUUAAUCGGAAUUACUGGGCGUAAAGCGUGUGCAGGCGGUUUUGUAAGUUAGAGGUGAAAGCCCGGAGCUCAACUCCGGAAUUGCCUUUAAGACUGCAUCGCUAGAAUUGUGGAGAGGUGAGUGGAAUUCCGAGUGUAGAGGUGAAAUUCGUAGAUAUUCGGAAGAACACCAGUGGCGAAGGCGACUCACUGGACACAUAUUGACGCUGAGGUGCGAAAGCGUGGGGAGCAAACAGG